UCCCUUGUGUUCAGCUGGUAAAGAAUCCACCUGCAAUGUGGAAGACCUGGGUUCGAUUCCUUGUUCGGGAA
rnacentral:tRNA from 1 species